CAGCCGCCGCGGGAAUACGUAGGUGGCAAGCGUUGUCCGGAAUUAUUGGGCGUAAAGGGCUCGCAGGCGGUUUCUUAAGUCUGAUGUGAAAGCCCCCGGCUCAACCGGGGAGGGUCAUUGGAAACUGGGAAACUUGAGUGCAGAAGAGGAGAGUGGAAUUCCACGUGUAGCGGUGAAAUGCGUAGGGAUGUGGAGGAACACCAGUGGCGAAGGCGACUCUCUGGUCUGUAACUGACGCUGAGGAGCGAAAGCGUGGGGAGCGAACAGGAUUAGAUACCCCGGUAGUCCCUGUCUCUUUACC
rnacentral:rRNA from 1 species